ensembl:lncRNA
AUUCAAUGAAGCCUUUCAGCUGCUGUUUAGAGUUAAGCACAUGAAUAAACUUCCAUUUGAAGACAAUAGGACUAAAUAGCUUACAAGACAAUAUACAUUUAAGUGUUUUUGUAAAUUAAGCUGUAAUUGUUCAGCAGUCUUGUGGGAUUUUUCUUUUCUUUUUUUUUUUUUUUUUUUCCCUUUUUUUUUUUUUUAAAGGAAAAAAAAUCCAGCCAGCUCAUCUCUGUAUUUAAGACUACAUUUCUGGUUACCCGCUGGUAGCAAGGCUGUUAUUUUCGAAAACUACUGAUGGAUUCUUUUCGACCAAGUGUUUAUUAAGAUAACAAUUAUUUAAAACCCCACCUCACCACAUCCCCAAGCCACACCCGGAUCUUUCUGUGUGCAGAAUUUAGCAAACAAGGGUGUUACGAGCUGUGAGCUCCAACAGCACUAGGCAACAUUGAACUGCAGCAAACUCAACAACUUUGUUAUCCUAAAUAUUAGCACUACCGAUGAACCUUUACUCUGUUUCAAUAGACACAUAAUUAAUUCAUUUACAAGACCUGCAGGAGGAGGUUUGUCUCCACAGGAAGGGGCUUUGGCAGAUUUGUUGGCAGCGUUUCAGGGAAGAUUAUGGUAACCGUGGUACGAAUAACAACGUCCUGUUUGGCCUGGCCCGCAGCUAGGGUCUGAGGAUUUCACAUGUGUUUUCAUCAGAGCUGCUUACACUUAGAACACUGAUCACAGAAUUACAGAGUACUUUAGCCUACAGGGGGUGCUGGAGGUCAUCUAGUCCAACCCCUGGCUCAAAG